rnacentral:rRNA from 1 species
GAUGAACGCUGGCGGCAUGCCUAAUACAUGCCAGUCGAGCGAACGGACGAGAAGCUUGCUUCUCUGAUGUUAGCGGCGGACGGGUGAGUAACACGUGGAUAACCUACCUAUAAGACUGGGAUAACUUCGGGAAACCGGAGCUAAUACCGGAUAAUAUUUUGAACCGCAUGGUUCAAAAGUGAAAGACGGUCUUGCUGUCACUUAUAGAUGGAUCCGCGCUGCAUUAGCUAGUUGGUAAGGUAACGGCUUACCAAGGCAACGAUGCAUAGCCGACCUGAGAGGGUGAUCGGCCACACUGGAACUGAGACACGGUCCAGACUCCUACGGGAGGCAGCAGUAGGGAAUCUUCCGCAAUGGGCGAAAGCCUGACGGAGCAACGCCGCGUGAGUGAUGAAGGUCUUCGGAUCGUAAAACUCUGUUAUUAGGGAAGAACAUAUGUGUAAGUAACUGUGCACAUCUUGACGGUACCUAAUCAGAAAGCCACGGCUAACUACGUG